rnacentral:rRNA from 1 species
GGGGAGUGGCAGACGGGUGAGUAACACGUGGGAACGUACCCUUCGGUUCGGAAUAACUCAGGGAAACUUGAGCUAAUACCGGAUACGUCCGAGAGGAGAAAGAUUUAUCGCCGAAGGAUCGGCCCGCGUCUGAUUAGCUUGUUGGUGAGGUAACGGCUCACCAAGGCGACGAUCAGUAGCUGGUCUGAGAGGAUGAUCAGCCACAUUGGGACUGAGACACGGCCCAAACUCCUACGGGAGGCAGCAGUGGGGAAUAUUGGACAAUGGGCGCAAGCCUGAUCCAGCCAUGCCGCGUGAGUGAUGAAGGCCUUAGGGUUGUAAAGCUCUUUUACCUGGGAAGAUAAUGACGGUACCAGGAGAAUAAGCCCCGGCUAACUUCGUGCCAGCAGCCGCGGUAAUACGAGGGGGGCUAGCGUUGUUCGGAUUUACUGGGCGUAAAGCGCACGUAGGCGGAUCUUUAAGUCAGAGGUGAAAGCCUGGAGCUCAACUC